CAGCAGCCGCUCUACUGCGCAUGUCGUCAUCAGAACGCAGCAAUCAUCACUACAAGUAUGACGGAUGACGGCGACGGCUCGGCUGCUGCGUCUCAUUUGGCCAGAAAACGCACCUCGCUCUGUCAGCUGACGGCGAUAACGCUUGUCAGGCUUCAUUUCCUGGUGGCAGCAGCGCCGACCCGCUGACCUGCAGCAGCAGCCGCAACACGAACAGAUGAAACCGGAGUGGCUGUAAUUCGCCUGUUUUUGAUCUUUCUCCCUCUGCACUGCGAGUCCAGACACGCUGCCGUCUCCACCGGGGGUCCAAGGCCCCUUAAAGAACAGAGUGUCCUCUGGUCUUUUGUCUCUUGCUGAGAUAAUAUGGGGCUCAUUAGCUGUGUGGCAGGAACAAAUAAUAGCCUGGGUGAAAUGUUGCAGGGUUUAAUUAACAACAUCGCCGUUGUACACUAAAUAUUAAUAUCAAACUUUUCCCUGCUGUGAAGCAGAUUCUCAUGCUGUCGAUCAACAGAAGGGUUCGGCAUCCAAACACACAAGGGUCAAAUCGUCAACUCCUCUUAAUUGAAUUGCUCUGCAAAAAAUGUUAAUGGGAUUUUAAGAGAAUUUGUUAGUUCAAAACAUUUUGUGUGAAGCUCAGUGUUUGGAGUCCUUGGUUUCCGGAUCCACCUGCAACCAGCAUUCAUUAAUAACAGUCCGGUCUGCCGUUAAGACCUGCAGGGACAGAGCAGGUGAAUUCAAACGUCACUGAUCGGCUUCUCUAGGAAUUUGAUGUUUUUUCUCUUAAAUUAUGUCAAUGUUGUCUUAAAAAUAUUACUGUGGUAUUAUUAAAACGAGAA